rnacentral:rRNA from 1 species
AAAACAAAGAGUUUGAUCGUGGCUCAGGACGAACGCUGGCGGCGUGCUUAACACAUGCAAGUCGAACGAUGAACCACUUCGGUGGGGAUUAGUGGCGAACGGGUGAGUAACACGUGGGCAAUCUGCCCUUCACUCUGGGACAAGCCCUGGAAACGGGGUCUAAUACCGGAUAACACUUCCACUCUCCUGGGUGGAGGUUAAAAGCUCCGGCGGUGAAGGAUGAGCCCGCGGCCUAUCAGCUUGUUGGUGAGGUAAUGGCUCACCAAGGCGACGACGGGUAGCCGGCCUGAGAGGGCGACCGGCCACACUGGGGGACUGAGACACGGGCCCAGACUCCUACGGGAGGCAGCAGUGGGGAAUAUUGGACAAUGGGCGCAAGCCUGAUCCAGCAAUGCCGCGUGAGUGAUGAAGGCCUUAGGGUUGUAAAGCUCUUUUACCAGGGAUGAUAAUGACAGUACCUGGAGAAUAAGCUCCGGCUAACUCCGUGCCAGCCGCCGCCGUAAC